rnacentral:rRNA from 1 species
GACGAACGCUGGCGGCGUGCUUAACACAUGCAAGUCGAACGGAAAGGCCCUGCUUUUGUGGGGUGCUCGAGUGGCGAACGGGUGAGUAACACGUGAGUAACCUGCCCUUGACUUUGGGAUAACUUCAGGAAACUGGGGCUAAUACCGGAUAGGAGCUCCUGCUGCAUGGUGGGGGUUGGAAAGUUUCGGCGGUUGGGGAUGGACUCGCGGCUUAUCAGCUUGUUGGUGGGGUAGUGGCUUACCAAGGCUUUGACGGGUAGCCGGCCUGAGAGGGUGACCGGCCACAUUGGGACUGAGAUACGGCCCAGACUCCUACGGGAGGCAGCAGUGUGGAAUAUUGCACAAUGGGCGGAAGCCUGAUGCAGCAAGGCCGCGUGCGGGAUGAUGGCCUGCGGGUUGUAAAGCGCUUUCGCCUGUGACGGAGCGUGAGUGACGGUAAUGGGUAAAGAAGCACCGGCUAACUACGUG